rnacentral:misc_RNA from 1 species
UUUUUUUUUUAGCUUUCUGCCAUUGUGUAUUUGUGUUAGCUGGUAUAAUCUAUGUCAAUAAAAUAAAUCGGACAACAUAAUAUCAGCUCUUAAAAGGUGAAUAUCAUUAUAUGAUUUUGUGUUCUAACCAUGAAUUGAAGUAGCUUUUCUCCCUCUUAGCAACAUUGCUAUCUGGAGCAGCGGCAAGCAUAAGUUCCUCUAGUUUUAGGGCUAAUCCAUUGGAGAUAAGACACUAAGGGUCUUAACUCUAAUAAAUAGGAAGAAGAAGAAGAAGAUAAUGGUCAUCUUUUAUUUGAUGAUGGCGAGGAUAAAUUUUUGUGAAACCUAGCUUGGAGAGUAGGAUUUGUGUUUGCUAUUGUAAUCUUUAUGUUUUUGUUGAAUUAUAGUGGUGGUUGCCAUCUUCCUUGCACUCUUGUGUGCAUGUGACUUUUGCAGAACUAAUCUUAGUUGUCAUCUUCUUCGUGAUAUCCAUGUAGUUUGCGAGUAGAAUUUGGAGUUUGAUAUCUUUAUUUUGUGUUUUCUGUUUUUUUUUGGCACUUCUUGGUGUACAUGAUUUAUGUUGAACUAGUCUUACGGUGUAUUUGUUAUUGCUAUUGAGAAAAGCGCUAUCUCAAAAUUAUUUAUUAGACCUUUAAAAUAUGACAUGUUUUGGUCAUAAAAACUUCAAAACAUAAAUCAGGUUUUUCCGAAGUUUUUUCAAACAUUUAAAAUGGUGUUUUUCUAAAUAUGUAUUUUCAACCUCAGUCACAAUCUUACUCUUAGUAUUAGACAUACACUAUGCAUUUAUUAUAAAAUUUGUCUAUACACAUUUUAUUGAUUUAUGCUUUGUAUGCCUA